UGUAGGGCAAGUCACUGUAUUGUGUUGUUUCGUAGUCCCAUCAGUGGCAGUCAACCAAACCAGUAUGAAAAUAUAAAGAAAAUUAUUAAAAACAUAUUUACCGUUUGUUCUCCUCAUUUUCUUUACGGUUUUUCGUGAAAACUAAUUAAAGAAAAUUAUUAUGUUGCCUCCUAAUAUUCGUGGGUAAUGUGCCGGGAAAUCGGAGGUGUGUCCAAUUCAACCAAUCACGAGGCGGGAUUUUCCCUACGUCAUUGUCCUCGUUCGCUACAUAGAAACAUCUAACAACCAUAAUGGGGGAUGACGCUGAUGAAGUUUCGUCACCGAUACAGAGAUAAAGAGGUGUUUUAUUCACUUCCCGACUGUGAAUGAUGUCGUUUUGAAAGAAUUCACAGACACAAAAUGGUCCAAAGCUUUUGCUUCUGCUGAUAUUUUGAAAAAUACGGACGGAGAAAAGAGCAAAAUUGCGACGGAUUUCCUUGCCAAUGUCGCCCGUAUUGAACCGUAUAGAGUACAGCGACAGUACCGGUACCAGUGCACUGCACUGGUACUGUCGCUCUAUAUACGGUUCAAUACGGGCGACAUUGGCAAGGAAAUCCGUCGCAAUUUUGCACUCUUCUCCGUAAAAUACCUCGAGAUUCUGACAAGACUGAAUUUGAAGAUCCAUCUGAUAUCCCUCCACAACCUAAGAAGCUGUGUAGGAGUCUACAAUCUCGGCGCUCAUCUGUCAGCUUUGAUUUGUUGGACCUAUUUGAGACCAUUAGUAUAAAAUUUACGCCGUUCAUAUUGAGCACUAAAUGUAUGCAAUAUUUGUUGCUGUUUAUCAGCAGAUUUUUCAACAUUAACUGGUUCUAUUGAUAACAACAAAUAUAUAUGACAGAAUUAAAAUGAACAAAGGCAAGAUCAUCGUGAAACUUUUUCUCUGAUAUUUCUUAUUCAAUUUGGGGAUUAAAAAAAAAUUGAGCAUGAUUUGUAUAUCCCUAUGGUUCCUUUGUAAAUUAUGUACAAAAUAACCAACCUUUCAUGAAUAUACAUAUACAAAUGUAUGGGUCGACUGGGGUGUUUUACAUAUACAUUAUGUGCACCUGUAAUAUAAGAAUAUACUAAAUAUAUGUAAAGAUAUAAUUUCAGAGCUGGAAAAAUGUUUUUAUUUCCUAGGAAUACAAUACAAAUUUUUCUCUGGGAUGCCAAAAUUAAUCUCCCAAGGUUUGAUUGUUACAAACUGUUCCAAUUUUUAUUUCAUCAAGAGGUAAACAUUUCCCUUCAAAUGUCAAGGAAACGAUGUCCUACAGUUCCCUAUUUAUUCCAAACCUGAUAAUUAUAUUGAUUAAUUGAUAAGAAUUGUAUCAAGGAAAGCAAAAUGAAUUAUUUUUGCUAACAGUAAUAUUACCAGUAAUCACUUACAGUAAUGUACUAUUGUACUUGCAUUGCAUGCUCAUUUGUUUCAUAAUAAUAAUAAUAACAUGGAUAUUUAUUAUUUAUUAUGCAUACAUGUAUUUUGCCAUGUUGAAGCAUUGCCAAGAUUUAUAGUCAAAUAUAAAACUUUAUUACGCUCAAAUGUAUGGGUCGUUUCAAACUUUCCAUCACACUCUUUGGACACUUGUUCUAAUCCAAAUAUUAAAAAUUUAUGAAUUCCUCAACAGUAACAGCUUUUUGGCCAUUUUUCUAUCAACAUAUUUUAGGACAUUUUCUCUGAACCAAACAAAAAAAAACAAAAAAAAACAAAUGACUAGACACAUCUUAUCAAUGUUUCAUAAUUUAUUUCAAUUCCAUCAAUAUUUAUGUAAAAACUUUGUUAACAAUCUUUGCAGUUCAAGUUAAAUUUCAUUUGUAAAUUACAACAUGCAUGUACCAUAGUUCUGAUUUCACUUGCAGUGGCAAGUACCGGUAUAAGAAAAAGUACCAGGUAAUAAGCUACUUGUAGAUAAAUGUCAUUGACAAAAGGGUAGUACGGUAAUAAAUUUUACAUAAUGAAUGAAAUCAAAUUAAACAGAGAAGAAUAUAAUUUA
rnacentral:lncRNA from 1 species